rnacentral:lncRNA from 1 species
UGUCGUGAUAGGAAAUAGGGUGAGGGAUCCUCACUUGUUUCGGAGUCUAAAAUCGGGUUUUCACUGCGCUUACGGGCAGUCCUUAGAUUCUCUGAAUUUUUUUCCGGAAACUGAAACACACUUUCGGUACCUGCAUAUGUCCCCAAAAAAUCCCAAAUCAGACCCAGGGCCUUUUCGGCCAAUUUCAGAAUUCCAGCACCGCGGCUCUGCCGUGCUCCGGCGACGGCGCCGUCGCUGUCCGCCUCAGGUUGGCCGUUUCCAACCGUUUUCAACCGAAUUCGGCCAAACUUGCAUUGGUUCCUGUGAUAAAACACCCCUAGGGCCCUUGGUGGGCCAAAAAAUUAUAGAAAAUCGAGACUUACCGGUGGCGGAGCUCUUGGGUGCGACGGUUUCUCAGGCGCAAGUCGCGAUUUAGUGUUUAGCUCCGGUCAACCUGUAGAGAAAAGGACGGUGGUCACAGUGGUAUUAAAAUUACAUCAAACGGGAACCAAAAAGGGCCUCAUUGGAGGCAAAAAUCGCGGGAACCUGCGGCGGCACCGAUGGACUUCGAC